rnacentral:tRNA from 1 species
GCGACUGUGGCGAAACAGGGGCAGACGCACCGGUUUCAGACACCGGCGUCCCGAAGGACAUCCGGGUUCGAAUCCCGGCAGUCGCACCG